GGUGAAGCGGUGAAUUUAAGCCCCAGUAAACGGCGGUGGUAACUAUAACCAUCCUAAGGUAGCGAAAUUCCUUGUCGGGUAAGUUCCGACCUGCACGAAUGGCGUAACGACUUCUCUACUGUCUCAACCAUGAACUCGGCGAAAUUGCAUUACGAGUAAAGAUGCUCGUUACGCGCAGAAGGACGGAAAGACCCCGGGACCUUUACUAUAGCUUGGUAUUGGUGCGCGUUAUAGCUUGUGUAGGAUAGGUGGGAGACUGUGAAGUGGUCACGCUAGUGAUUGUGGAGUCGUUGUUGAAAUACCACUCUGGUUAUAGCGUGUGCCUGAACCUUGGCCCGUGAUCCGGGUUAGGGACAGUGCCUGGUGGGUAGUUUAACUGGGGCGGUUGCCUCCUAAAUUGUAACGGAGGCGCUCAAAGGUUCCCUCAUCCUGGUCGGUAACCAGGUGUUGAGUGUAAGUGCACAAGGGGGCUUGACUGCGAGACUGACAGGUCGAGCAGGUACGAAAGUAGGAACUAGUGAUCCGGCGAUCCCGUGUGGGUGGGUCGUCGCUCAACGGAUAAAAGGUACCCCGGGGAUAACAGGCUGAUCCUGCCCAAGAGUCCAUAUCGACGGCAUGGUUUGGCACCUCGAUGUCGGCUCGUCGCAUCCUGGGGCUGGAGCAGGUCCCAAGGGUUGGGCUGUUCGCCCAUUAAAGCGGUACGCGAGCUGGGUUUAGAACGUCGUGAGACAGUUCGGUCCCUAUCCUCUGCGCGCGUUGGAAACUUGAGAAGGGCUGUCCCUAGUACGAGAGGACCGGGACGGACGAACCUCUGGUGUGCCAGUUAUCCUGCCAGGGGUAUGGCUGGUUUGCUACGUUCGGGAUGGGUAACCGCUGAAAGCAUCUAAGCGGGAAACUAGCUUCGAGAUUAGGUUUCCGUCCCAUUUGUUGGGGGGAGGUUCCCGGUAGAUUACCGGGUUGAUAGGCUAGGAGUGUAGACAUUGUAAGGUGACCAGCUUACUAGUACUAAUUGACCGA
rnacentral:rRNA from 1 species